rnacentral:rRNA from 1 species
UGAGGAAUAUUGGGUCAAUGGGCGGAAGCCUGAACCAGCCAAGUAGCGUGCAGGAUGACGGCCCUAUGGGUUGUAAACUGCUUUUUCGCGGGGAUAAAGAGGGGGACGUGUCCCCCGUUGCAGGUACCGCGUGAAUAAGGACCGGCUAAUUCCGUGCCAGCAGCCGCGGUAAUACGGAAGGUCCGGGCGUUAUCCGGAUUUAUUGGGUUUAAAGGGAGCGCAGGCCGUAUGGUAAGCGUGUUGUGAAAUGCCGUGGCUCAACCAUGGCACUGCAGCGCGAACUGCCGUACUUGAGUACGCUGGAGGUAGGCGGAAUUCGUGGUGUAGCGGUGAAAUGCGUAGAUAUUAGGAGGAACACCAGUGGCGAAGGCGGAUUGCUGGACGAUAACUGACGGUGAGGCGCGAAAGUGUGGGGAG